UCAAGAUGUUGAGUAUUGAUUACUAAUCAACUACUAGCCUGGAGGAUAAAAGCCAAAGCUGUAAACAGACAGGUCAGGUAAAUAUAUGAAUGAAGAAAUUGAAACUAGAAGUAAACAUCAUGGGAAGCCUAAUUGUAGGGCAAGUAUUUUUCCUUCAUAUCUUAUUUAACAUAGUCAAACUAUGCAAUACUUAUAGGCUUAACUAUUGUUUUCAUAGAAACAAUGUUAUUUUAAAUAUCAUGAGAUAGUGUAUUUAAGAGAUAUUCUAAUUCAAGUUUCCAUAUUUAAUCAGCUUAACAAAUGCACAUUCUCUGCUGCCAACAGUGCCAAUUUGUCAUCCAAGCAACAAAUAUUCCUUGGUAAUCUGCUAUCAGAUGACAGUUUUCUCUUUGGCAUUUUUAUGAAUUAAAGCUUUCAAGGCCAAACUUCAGAUUUGCUUAGCAUAUUCCUGUUUGAUGGUUUGUCUGGUUCAUCUCUUAACACUAUCAAGAUGGCUACACUAAGUUUAACAAGCAAACUUUCUGUUGCCAACUACCAAUUUGUCAUUCUAUCCAAGCAACUAAUAUUCCUUGGUAAUCUAUCAGAUGAUUACAGUUUUCUCUUUGGCAUUUUUAUGAAUUAAAACCAAACCUUAGAUUUGGUUAGCAUAACCCUGAACUGCUUAUCAACAAAUGUCUGAUGGUCUGUCUGGUUCAUUUCUCAACACUAUGAAGAUGGCUACACGGGUAUCAGCUAUCAGCAGGCACCCCUAUGAUAUACAAGUCUUCAUUGCCAAGUCACUCUGCCAAACAGUGUGUAUACCUUUCUUGCAUAGGUAGUGACCCACUUUACUGUACUUCAAUGUCAGGAGUCUGGAUAUGUCUGGCCAAGGAGAUCAAAUUUGUGUCCAAGGUUACUUAGGUAAUUCUCUAAGAACAAUAGACAGACUCUACAUGCUACUGAUCUGGAGGUUAGUGGCUCAAUCAUUGUGCACUGAUUCUUCACUGAUGCCUUGAUUCCCCACUGUCAACUUUAUUGUCAUAAAGUUUAUCUAGUGAUCUACAUAUCAAGACUAAAUGGUCAAUUAAACAUGAGGUCAAGGAAAAAGGAUGAACAUUUCAAGGCUACAGAAGGAACAUUAAACGUCUCUCUCACUGUGAAAAGAUUCUACCGAUCUACAAAUGAUCAACAUGUUUUAUCUUAAGUUCGUCUGCCAUUUCUUCAAAUGGAGCCAUAUUAAGAAUAAGGUAAGAAAUAUUCUUAUACUUCACAGCAUUUAUUUUUUUGUAAAGUGAUGAUCCUGCAUUAGUUGUAUGUUGUUUGUGUAUGUUACUUUAAAUAUCCUGCAUUAGUUUUAUGUUGUAUGUGCAUGAUAAUUUAAAUAUCCUGCAUUAGUUGUAUGUUGUAUGUGCAUGAUACUUUAAAUAUCCUGCAUUAGUUGUAUAUGUAUGCAUGGUUCCUGUAUUUGUUUUGUAUAUUAUGAUGUCAGUAAUUACUUCACAAACACUUCACACACAACUUGUAAGUUCACCUGUCUAGUUAAAGAAAUCUGUAUUGUAUUUGUUUUAGUAGUGUCUAGUUAUGAAA